UACAGAGGUCCCAAGCGUUGUUCGGAUUUACUGGGCGUAAAGGGCGCGUAGGCGGCCAGCACAAGUCAGUUGUGAAAUCUCCGGGCUUAACUCGGAAAGGUCAACUGAUACUGUGCGGCUAGAGUGCAGAAGGGGCAACUGGAAUUCUCGGUGUAGCGGUGAAAUGCGUAGAUAUCGAGAGGAACACCAGUGGCGAAGGCGGCUCACUGGCCCGAUACUGACGCUGAGGUGCGAAAGCGUGGGGAGCAAACAGG
rnacentral:rRNA from 1 species